AAUAACUAUAGCAAUAGUUUUCCACGUCCAACUUUAAUCAUUCGUCUUAUUUAAAAAAAAUAGUCACGAGUAAAGUACUAUUCAUGUUUUAUCAUCUUAUAACAACAAAAAUACUAAUUAUAAAAAAAUUUCAAAUAAGACGAACGAUUAAAGUUGGACGCAGAAACUCAUAGCUGCACUUAAU
rnacentral:pre_miRNA from 1 species